rnacentral:misc_RNA from 1 species
AGAUGUGUAUAAGAGACAGGUGAAUCAUCGAAUCUUUGAACGCACAUUGCGCCCUUUGGUAUUCCACUGGGCAUGCCUGUUCGAGCGUCAUUUACACUCUCAAGCUUUGCUUGGUGUUGGGUGUUUGUCCACGUUCUAGCGUGAACUCGCCUUAAAUCCAUUGGCAGCAACACUUCUAGUUACUUGCGCAGCACAUGCAGUAUGAGUAGCUAGCCGUGGCUUGCUUCCACAAGCACCGAUAUUUUGACCUCGAAUCAGGUAGGGAUACCCGCUGAACUUAAGCAUAUCAAUAAGCGGAGG